GACGAACGCUGGCGGCGUGCUUAACACAUGCAAGUCGAACGGAAAGGCCUCUUUCGGGGGGUACUCGAGUGGCGAACGGGUGAGUAACACGUGAGUAACCUGCCCUUGACUUUGGGAUAACUUCAGGAAACUGGGGCUAAUACCGGAUAGGAGCUCCUGCUGCAUGGUGGGGGUUGGAAAGUUUCGGCGGUUGGGGAUGGACUCGCGGCUUAUCAGCUUGUUGGUGGGGUAGUGGCUUACCAAGGCUUUGACGGGUAGCCGGCCUGAGAGGGUGACCGGCCACAUUGGGACUGAGAUACGGCCCAGACUCCUACGGGAGGCAGCAGUGGGGAAUAUUGCACAAUGGGUGGAAGCCUGAUGCAGCAACGCCGUGUGCGGGAUGACGGCCUUCGGGUUGUAAACCGCUUUCGCUCAUGACGAAGCUUUGUGUGACGGUAGUGGGCAAAGAAGCACCGGCUAACUACGUG
rnacentral:rRNA from 1 species